rnacentral:rRNA from 1 species
CCUACGGGUGGCAGCAGUGAGGAAUAUUGGUCAAUGGACGAGAGUCUGAACCAGCCAAGUAGCGUGAAGGAUGAAUGUACAAUGGGUCGUAAACUUCUUUUAUAUGGGAAUAAAACAGGGUAUGCAUACCCUCUUGUAUGUACCAUAUGAAUAAGGAUCGGCUAACUCCGUGCCAGCAGCCGCGGUAAUACGGAGGAUCCGAGCGUUAUCCGGAUUUCUUGGGUUUAAAGGGAGCGUAGGUGGAUUGUUAAGUCAGUUGUGAAAGGUUGCGGCUCAACCGUAAAAUUGCAGUUGAAACUGGCAGUCUUGAGUACAGUAGAGGUGGGCGGAAUUCGUGGUGUAGCGGUGAAAUGCUUAGAUAUCACGAAGAACUCCGAUUGCGAAGGCAGCUCACUGGACUGAAACUGACACUGAUGCUCGAAAGUGUGGGUAUCAAACAGGAUUAGAUACCCUUGUAGUC